GAUCAUGGCUCAGGACGAACGCUGGCGGCGUGCCUAACACAUGCAAGUCGAGCGGGGAUUAUCGGAUGAAGUUUUCGGAUGGAUUCUGGUAAUUCCAGCGGCGGACGGGUGAGUAACGCGUGAGCAACCUGCCUUUCACAGGGGGAGUAACGCAUCGAAAGGUGCACUAAUACCGCAUGAGACCACGCUCCCGACAUGAGAGAGGGGUCAAAGGAGCAAUCCGGUGAGAGAUGGG
rnacentral:rRNA from 1 species